rnacentral:rRNA from 1 species
AUGACAAACAUGUACAAGAUGUCGUGUGCACCAUUCAUUGGAAUUAAUAACCAUGUUCAAUCCAUCCAGUUUGGGUGUGGCUUCGUUCGAAACAAACUAAAGGAAAACUUUGUCUGGCUGUUUAACACAUUCCUCCAUGCAAUUGGUGGUGUUGCCCCUAAAAACAUCAUCACAGACCAGAACUUUGCAAUGAGGAGUGCAAUCGACGAGGUCUUCUUGAACAUAAUACACAGAAAUUGCCACUGGCAUAUAAUAAAGAAGGUGCAGGAGAAACUUGGAAAACUUAUGGCUGAUGAUAAACCACUAAACAGAGCGUUCAAAGACUAUGUCGACAACAGCUUGACUGAGGAAGAGUUUGAAAACAAAUGGUGGGCAAUGAUGGAUGAACAUGGCCAGAUCGACAACGAACAUUUUCAAUGGCUGUGGGAAAAUAGGAAAUGUUGGGCCCUAGUGUACUACAUGAAGCAUUUCUUUCCAUUCUUGCAGACAACUGCAAGGAGCAAGGGAUUCAAUGUUGUGCUCAAGAAGUACGUGAACCCCAACAACUCAUUGAUUGAAUUCGCAACUCAAUACACUGCAAUCCAGAAGAAAGUAAUGGUGGAUGUGGCGAAAGAGCAAGUGGACACAAUUUACAAAGAGGCAGACAUGUAUUCGUUGAACCCAAUCGAGUUACAGAUGCGAGGGAUAUACACACAAAAUCUGUUCUCCAAGUUCCAGGUAGAGAUGAAGCUAAAGACUGCUUAUGGAUGCGACACUUUGCAAGAUGGAACCUUCAGGAUGUGGUCGCUCCGAGGCAUACUACCAAAGUAUGGGGAUAGGGACUACCAUGUGCAGGCGAACAAGGAUGAAGGGGUAUACUCAUGCACUUGCUGCAAGUUUGAUCACGAUGGGCUAUUAUGCGCACACAUACUACGAGUAAUGGAACAAAUUGGAGUCUACGAGAUACCAAGGAGGUAUAUCCUGGAUAGGUGGACAUGGGAUCCAGAAGAGGAUCUUGUUCAGCCUGAUUACCAACAGCCAACAGUUAAGAAGGGUAUGACAGAGGAAGGAAAAAAUAUCAUGAGAUAUACAUCUAUUCUGAAUGAUUUCAAGGAACAAGCAAAAGACGCUUGCACUACUGAUGAAGGGAUGGCAUUGGCAAGGAAACAUGUUAAUGCUUUCAGAGACGACAUGGAUGCACUAAAAAAGAGGCAGCUAAAGAAAGCAAGAAAGGAAAAAGAUGAGGGAAAAGAAGCACAAAUGUUUUCUUCACCACCAGUAACUAGUGCCACUGAAGGUGUCCCAGUAGCGCAUCAAGGAAGCAUUCCUGUCACGCAUGUGUCUGGCAAUAUUUUCCAGUUCCAGGGCUCACAUGUCGAGGGAUCCCAAUCAUCAAACACAAGAGUGAUACUAGACCCACCAAAGUCUACUACGAAAGGGCGUCCAAGAGAGAAAAGAUUCCAGCACCCAUUUGACAUUGCAAAGCCAAAAAGAGAGGAAGUGUAG